rnacentral:rRNA from 1 species
UACGUAGCGGGCAAGCGCUGUUCGGAUUUACUGGGCGUAAAGGGCGCGUAGGCGGCGCGUAAAGUCGGACAUGAACUCAUUAGGCUCAACCUAAUGGCUGUGUCCGCUACUUACGUGCUUGGAGUGCGGGAGAGGCAGCCGGAAGUCUCGGUGUAGCGGUGAAAUGCGUAGAUAUCGAGAGGAACACCGGUGACGAAGGUGGGUUGCUGGACCGACACUGACGCUGAGGCGCGAAAGCUAGGGGAGCAAACGGG